CCUACGGGUGGCAGCAGUGGGGAAUAUUGCACAAUGGGCGAAACCCUGAUCCAGCAACGCCGCGUGAGUGAGGAAGUAUUUCGGUAUGUAAAGCUCUUUUUGCAGGGGAUCGAAAAGAAGGUCCCGUAAAAAGAAGCCGCGGCUAACUACGGGCCAGCUGCCGCGGUAAUACGGAGGGGGCAAGCGUUAUCCGGAGUUACUGGGGGUAAAGGGAGCGUAGGCGGAAAGGCAAGUCAAAAGGGAAAGCCGAAGGCCCAACCAUGGGACUGCUGUUGAAACUGUCGAACUAGAGUACGCGAGAGGUAUGAGGAAUGCGUGGUGUAGCGGUGAAAUGCGUAGAUAUCACGAAGAACACCGGUGGCGAAGGCGUCUUACCGGAGCCAAACUGACGUUGAGGCACGAAAGCGUGGGGAGCGAACAGGAUUAGAUACCCGAGUAGUC
rnacentral:rRNA from 1 species